UGAGAUGUGGACUGCAUGCGC
rnacentral:misc_RNA from 1 species